rnacentral:rRNA from 1 species
AUUGAACUCUGGCGGCAGGCCUAACACAUGCAAGUCGAACGAGUGGCGGACGGGUGAGUACUGUCUGUGAAACUGCCUGAUGGAGGGGGAUAACUACUGGAAACGGUAGCUAAUACCGCAUACCAUCGGAUGUGCCCAGAUGGGAGUAGCUAGUAGGUGGGGUAAAGGCUCACCUAGGCGACGAUCCCUAGCUGGUCUGAGAGGAUGACCAGCCACACUGGAACUGAGACACGGGCCAGACUCCUACGGGAGGCAGGAGUGGGGAAUAUGGCACAAUGGGCGCAAGCCUGAUGCAGCCAUGCCGCGUGUAUGAAGAAGGCCUUCGGGUUGUAAAGGACUUUCAGCGGGGAGGCGUUACCCGCAGAAGAAGCACCGGCUAACGCCGUGCCAGCAGCCGCGGUAAUUC